UACAGAGGGGGCAAGCGUUGUUCGGAUUUACUAGGCGUAAAGGGCGCGUAGGCGGCGCAACAAGUCACUUGUGAAAUCUCCGGGCUUAACCCGGAGCGGUCAAGUGAUACUGUCGUGCUAGAGUGCGGAAGGGGCUACUGGAAUUCUCGGUGUAGCGGUGAAAUGCGUAGAUAUCGAGAGGAACACCUGCGGCGAAGGCGGGUAGCUGGGCCGACACUGACGCUGAUGCGCGAAAGCCAGGGGAGCGAACGGG
rnacentral:rRNA from 1 species